AUGCCACGGGAGCGGCCCUAGAAAAGGCAAAAGGACCAAAAAAAAACAACCAAAAAAACCCCCAAAACAACUAUAGAGACCAAAAGAUAAUGGCAUCUGGGGCGCAUCCUACUUCCUAAGGGGAAGGGAGGGCGAGGGCCCUGUUCCUCUGGCAUUUUACUCGGUAGAGGGGCGAGUGUGCCUGUUUGUACCCGAUGCCAGGGCAACUGGCCCUAAAUGGCACUCCUUCAGCGCUUUGAAAGUCAAGUUGUCCGAAAGAGUUAAAAUGGAUAUUUAAGCACUACCUCAGCUCUGCAACCGUGGCUCCUCGAUGAGGAAUGAAGGAAGGGGGCAGUUUUUGUCAGGGAUUUUUAAUCCGAGGCUCACUAUUUUAAGGGAACUUACAUUUACUUUCCUGAGUCACACAAAUGAUGCUGAGUUGAAAAUGCCUUUUUAAAAAGUCAAUGAAGGAAUGAAUACACGCUGUCCUCAUUACUUUAAAAAUGUAAUGGCUUAGAUUCACAGAGCUCUGCUUAUAAUAUAAAUUGUAAGCAUGACACAGCUACAGAGGUAUGCCUCUUUGGGUUCUGAGGCUGUCGAAGGAAAACACAAAAUGUCACUUUUUGAAGCCAAAUCAGAUGGCUGGGCGGGCGUGGUGGUCAGGAGAGUGAGGGAGUGGCCUUACAGUCUCCUGGAGCCCAGAAUCCAAGAUGCUCAAAAAAAGCAGGGCUUUACAUAUCCGUUGAUGGGGAGACCCGAGGGCUUCCUUUUCUCUUUUUUCUGGCCACGCCCGAGGUGUGCCAGGAAGUUCCCAGGCCAGGGAUGGAAGCCGCGCCCCAGCAGUGACAAGGCUGAAUCCUUCACUGCUACGCCACCAGGGAAUUCUGGUAGUCUUCCAUUUUUAAUCAGCCGUGGUGGACCUUACAAUGUAUCCGAGAACUAAAAUGCAUGUGAUAUCCUGCCACUGUCCAACAGCAAAGGCAAGUUGAUAGUACAAGAGCCAUUGGGUCAACAUGACUCAAGUCCCUGAAAACAUUUAGCCUGAGUGUGGGAACAUCAUGGGCCAAAAAGCAACAGCAGGCAGAUGUCCUCAUAGAGGAAAGAUGAAAAGCCUCGCUAAGUUGUGCCAUCUGAAUCUGUCCCCUAAAAACUCUCUCAUCAUCAGUGGGAAGCUGUUUUCCCCUUAAUUUCCUUGGAAGAACACAGCGUCAUUCCGGCUCCAUCCUCUUACAGUUGGGAUCCUCUGUUUUCGGAUCCGGACUGUCUGUGAGUCGCCAUUCCCACGUUCCCACAGGUACCAUCGCCUCUGUCUUUGGACAGGGACCACGUCUCCUCUUUCCUCCAGCCUCUCUCUCCCCACUUACUCCCCUCCCCACAGGGUCCUCAAUGCCCCAGCUAGAUAAGGUACCCCUGCCUCUCCACUGGCCACGGCUAUCCUGUGACAGCAGCAAUCAGACCAUACUCUUUUCCUAAGUCACAUGUUGAGAAUCACAUUUCUCUUUCUCGGAAUCCCAUGACGGCUCCCUCCUGCAUGGGGGAUAAAGUCCUAAUUCCUCAGCGUGGCAUUCACACGCUUCUCCAUCUCACCUUGUCUUGCUUUCCAGUUGCAACUGCCCACAUAUUUCCCCAAGCACCGUACCAUCCCACGUAUCAUUUGCUGAAAAUGGCAAGUACUUUGAGGUUCCCAUGUCUUUCUUCAUGCUGUUCCCUCAGCCUGGGAUGCUCUCUCUCUCAGGCUUCAACAUACAUGCCACUUCUUAGAGGAACCCUUCCAUCCUCCCCCUAGCCCAGAGGAAUUACUUCCCUCUCUGACUAUGAGUCAGAUUGUACGCCUUUUUGGGCCAUACCCAUGGCAUGAGGAAGGUCCCAGGCCAGGGAUCAAACCCAAGUCACAGCAAUGACAAUGCCAGAUCCUUAACCCACUGAGCCACCAGGGAACUCCCACUGGGACUGUACUUCUACCAGUGGACUAGUUUCAUUCUGCAACACAGUAGUCAUUCAGCUAGACUAGGAGCCCCAUCAAAGGAAGACACGAGUCUACACACAGCACAUGACUGGCAUAGACACUGAAAAACUGAAUGAAUGCAUGCAUGAAUCAAGGGCUACACAGAUGAACCUAUAUUCCCAGUUUACUGAGAAUACGAAGGUGAAGGGCUUCGUCCUUGGCAGAGACCCUUCCCAUGCAGACUGUCCUCAUCAACUGAUGAGUUCCUUGGGGGAAAGAGUCCCACUGAACUAAGAUGAAGAAAAGACAAAAGCAGAGCCAGUGGUGGGCGUGGUGCAGGAAGCCAAUGGCAGGACUCAAACCCCGACCUCUAGAUGCUAAAGCCCUUCUGACAGCAGCCAGUUCUCAUUACCUGUAGCAUCAGUUCACUCCAUGUAGAUGGAUGCAAUCAACAAGAUCAUUUUCAUACUAUCUUUUGCUGCCUAGAACUUGAUGCUCUGCCCGGGGAGCAGGGGACAUAUGCCAGCAUUCUGUGUGCCAUGCUGGCAAGGAAUCCGGAUUUCCGGUGAGCGGGUUUCAUUUCUUUAUCACUUCAAACCUUGUGAGUUGGUUCCCAUACCUCUGACCCUUGCUUUUGCCUCAUAAUCUACCCACUGCUGGGCCACACCCUGCCCCCUCCAUCCCCAUGGAUCCCCAAGUGCAGGGGUUGCUGGCGAUGGACAUGACAGUGCCUGUCUCUGUCACAUGAAAAUAUAGCUUCAUUAGUGAAGUCGGUCCCUCGCUUGGCUGUGACAGCGCGAAGCACUGAGACUUCCAUCCGCGCAGUCCCCUCCCCUUGCAGAGUCUGCGGGAUGACUGCCAGGAAAAUACAAUUACGGGCUGGCAGGGGAAUAAAUACAAGUCCUUAACCUAAAAGUUCUGUGUUUUCAUUUUCCCCCCUUUCCAUGUCUCUAUACACAUCUUUUUCUCUUUCCAUUGCUCCUUAAAUUCAUUUCCUGUGUCCAAUUAUUCCCUUCUCUGCUGUCUAGUUGGUGCUUUCCUAAACAUUCUCUGCUGUCUCCAGAGUGAUCUGUUCCAUAUCCCGAGGCCAGGGGCAAGGUUGGACUCCUUUAAUGGAUUCGGAAUGUUACAGAUGCCUGUCUGCUCCUCUGCCCUUUGAGUUUCUCUGCCAAGAGAUUAGAGGCAGCAAGUGGAGCCUGGGCAGUCACCGUCAUUUCCUCCCCGAUGGAAGACGUAUGAACGGAGGGCUGUGGAGACGGAUUACAGUUUAGGUCACCCAGGGGAGAAAUCUGAAGCCCCCUUUUGAUGAACAACGAGGAUUCUUUUGGCGGAACCAAUACAAAUAUGCUAGGAACACAAACCAGAAGAAGAAUGGCAGAUGAACAAUCGCUAUAACCACUACGAAAAUAUCAGGCAGCUGCUCUUCGCUCAACUGGUUCAAAGUCGCUAAGUCUUUGUGCUGGUGUCUCCUUUUUAAACAAAUAUGUUGCCGCAGAUGGUUUGUAUCCUCUCCCUUCCACUGUGGGAUUUCACAUGCAUGGGAGGUGCUAGGCAAAGAUGCAGACACUGCUGCAUCCCAAAAACCCCAGCAGAGCCCAGUCAGGCUUUUCCAACACCCACCGCCCCCUGCUCUUUCAGGGCCCCGUGCUCCACCCCUACCCUCUGCAGUAGCCUUGCGGGCAAUGGAUAAAGCAUACCCUGGGAGCAGGGGUCACAUCUCUGCUCGAAAGUCACCAGUGCCUCACCGCUGUCCACAGAAUUAAGCACAAAGCCUUUAGUGUUUCUGUACCCGCCUUCCUCCUCGAGAGCAGGUGUGGCCUCUUUAUCCGCAUCGAGCCGCACACUGUAUGAGGCACAAGG